rnacentral:rRNA from 1 species
GAAGGCGGGGAUGACGUCAAGUCCUCAUGGCCCUUACAUCCCGGGCUACACACGUGCUACAAUGGCAGGUACAGAGGGCUGCGAAGCCGCGAGGUGGAGCGAAUCCCAGAAAACCUGUCUCAGUCCGGAUUGAAGUCUGCAACUCGACUUCAUGAAGGCGGAAUCGCUAGUAACCGCGAAUCAGCAGGUCGCGGUGAAUACGUUCCCGGGCCUU